rnacentral:rRNA from 1 species
GCAAGUCGAGCGGUAAGGCCCUUCGGGUACACGAGCGGCGAACGGGUGAGUAACACGUGGGUGAUCUGCCUUGCACUCUGGGAUAAGCCUGGGAAACUGGGUCUAAUACCGGAUAUGACCUGCAGUUGCAUGACUGUGGGUGGAAAGAUUUAUCGGUGCGAGAUGAGCCCGCGGCCUAUCAGCUUGUUGGUGGGGUAAUGGCCUACCAAGGCGACGACGGGUAGCCGGCCUGAGAGGGCGACCGGCCACACUGGGACUGAGACACGGCCCAGACUCCUACGGGAGGCAGCAGUGGGGAAUAUUGCACAAUGGGCGGAAGCCUGAUGCAGCGACGCCGCGUGAGGGAUGACGGCCUUCGGGUUGUAAACCUCUUUCGACUCCGACGAAGCGAAAGUGACGGUAGGAGUAUAAGAAGCACCGGCCAACUACGUGCCAGCAGCCGCGGUAAUACGUAGGGUGCGAGCGUUGUCCGGAAUUACUGGGCGUAAAGAGCUUGUAGGCGGCUUGUCGCGUCGAUCGUGAAAAUGNCGGGCUCAACCCCGAGCUUGCGGUCGAUACGGGCAGGCUUGAGUACUUCAGGGGAGACUGGAAUUCCUGGUGUAGCGGUGAAAUGCGCAGAUAUCAGGAGGAACACCGGUGGCGAAGGCGGGUCUCUGGGAAGUAACUGACGCUGAGAAGCGAAAGCGUGGGUAGCGAACAGGAUUAGAUACCCUGGUAGUCCACGCCGUAAACGGUGGGUACUAGGUGUGGGUUUCCUUCCACGGGAUCCGUGCCGUAGCUAACGCAUUAAGUACCCCGCCUGGGGAGUACGGCCGCAAGGCUAAAACUCAAAGGAAUUGACGGGGGCCNGCACAAGCGGCGGAGCAUGUGGAUUAAUUCGAUGCAACGCGAAGAACCUUACCUGGGUUUGACAUACACCGGAAACCUGCAGAGAUGUAGGCCCCCUUGUGGUCGGUGUACAGGUGGUGCAUGGCUGUCGUCAGCUCGUGUCGUGAGAUGUUGGGUUAAGUCCCGCAACGAGCGCAACCCUUAUCUUAUGUUGCCAGCGCGUAAUGGCGGGGACUCGUGAGAGACUGCCGGGGUCAACUCGGAGGAAGGUGGGGACGACGUCAAGUCAUCAUGCCCCUUAUGUCCAGGGCUUCACACAUGCUACAAUGGCCGGUACAGAGGGCUGCGAUACCGUGAGGUGGAGCGAAUCCCUUAAAGCCGGUCUCAGUUCGGAUCGGGGUCUGCAACUCGACCCCGUGAAGUUGGAGUCGCUAGUAAUCGCAGAUCAGCAACGCUGCGGUGAAUACGUUCCCGGGCCUUGUACACACCGCCCGUCACGUCAUGAAAGUCGGUAACACCCGAAGCCGGUGGCCUAACCC